rnacentral:lncRNA from 1 species
UUUUUUGGUAUCUUAGGAGAAAGAUUCAUCAGACUAAGAUUUUUAUCCUAGGAGAAAGUUCAUCAGACUAGGUUCCCUUUUUUGUUAUCUUAGGAGAAAGAUUCAUCAAACUAAGAUUUAUAUCCUAGGAGAAAGUUCAUUAGACUAGGUUUUCUAUCUUAGGAUAAAGAUUCAUCAGACUAAGAUUUAGAUCCUAGGAGAAAAUUCAUCAGACUAGGUCUUCUAUCUUAGGAGAAAAAUUCAUCAGACUAAGAUUUUGAUCCUAGGAGAAAAGUCAUCAGACUAGGUCUUCUAAUUUAUUAUCUUAGGAGAAAGAUUCAUCCGACUAAUAUUUUGAUCCUAGGAGAAAAU